UCUCCGCCGCCGCUAUGGCCGACCUGGAAGACGGUGAGGAACCCUGCGCCCUGUCGUCUCACUCGGGGAGCUCAGGAUUCAAGUCGGGCGGCGACAAAAUGUUGUCUCUCAAGAAGUGGAACGCUGCGGCCAUGUGGAGCUGGGACGUGGAGUGCGAUAUGUGCGCCAUCUGCAGGGUCCAGGUGAUGGAUGCCUGUCUUGGAUGUCAAGCUGAAAACAAACAGGAGGUUUGUGUUGUUGUCUGGGGAGAAUGUAAUCAUUCCUUCCACAACUGCUGCAUGUCCUUGUGGGUGAAACAGAACAAUCGCUGCCUGCUCUGCCAGCAGGACUGGGUGGUCCAGAGAAUCGGAAGUGAGAGCAAACGAAGGUGUUCUUCAUGCAGUCAGUUGUUCGGAGCCUUGGUAUAUCUUGUUAUCAAUUGCUCUACAGAGGCUAGAACUCUCCAGGGGACUAAUUCUUCGAAUAGGAGAUGGAUCUGUGGUCUUUUGGGACUCAUCAAAGGCAUGGUUUAGCCUUUUUCAGUUUUAUUUUCAGAA